UACAGAGGUCUCAAGCGUUGUUCGGAUUCAUUGGGCGUAAAGGGUGCGUAGGCGGCGGGGUAAGUCGGAUGUGAAAUCCCGGGGCUCAACCCCGGAACUGCAUUCGAUCCUGCCUUGCUAGAGUACUGGAGAGGAGACUGGAAUUUACGGUGUAGCAGUGAAAUGCGUAGAUAUCGUAAGGAAGACCAGUGGCGAAGGCGAGUCUCUGGACAGUUACUGACGCUGAGGCACGAAGGCCAGGGGAGCAAACGGG
rnacentral:rRNA from 1 species